rnacentral:ncRNA from 1 species
CACUUCGGUUCCGCGCAAGCGGAUGAAAAGGGAACCCGGUGCGGCGCAGCUUGCGUUCAUUCCGGGGCUGCCCCCGCAACUGUGAGCGGUGAGUGACGGCUGACUGAGCCACUGGGUCUAUGAUCCGGGAAGGCCAGCCCGAGCGACGACCCGCAAGCCAGGAGACCUGCCGAGGCG